rnacentral:rRNA from 1 species
GACGAACGCUGGCGGCGUGCCUAAUACAUGCAAGUCGAACGAACAGUUUAUACCGUAGCUUGCUACACCAUAGACUGUGAGUGGCGAACGGGUGAGUAACGCGUAGGUAACCUGCCUGGGAGCGGGGGAUAAGUAAUGGAAACGAUAGCUAAUACUGCAUAAUAUUAAUUAUUGCAGGAUAAUUAAUUGAAAGGUGUAAUUGCACCACUAACAGAUGGACCUGCGUUGUAUUAGCUAGUAGGUGAGGUAACGGGUCACCUAGGCGACGAUACAUAGCCGACCUCAGAGGCUGAGCUGCCCCGCUGGGACUGGAGCACGACCCAGACCCCUGCGAGUGGCACCCGUAGGGGAUCCUCGCCAAUGGACGAAAUUCUGACCGUUCAACGCCGCGUGAGUGAAUAAGGUUUUCGGGUCGUAUAGCUCUGUUGUAAGAGAAGAACGUGUGUGACUGUUGAAAGUUCACACUGUGACGGUACCUUACCAGAAAGCGACGGCUAACUACGUG